AGUGAACGCUGGCGGUAGGCCUAACACAUGCAAGUCGAACGGCAGCACAGUAAGAGCUUGCUCUUACGGGUGGCGAGUGGCGGACGGGUGAGGAAUACAUCGGAAUCUACUUUUUCGUGGGGGAUAACGUAGGGAAACUUACGCUAAUACCGCAUACGACCUACGGGUGAAAGCAGGGGAUCUUCGGACCUUGCGCGAUUGAAUGAGACGAUGUCGGAUUAGCUAGUUGGGGGGGUAAAGGCACACCAAGGCAACGAUCCGUAGCUGGUCUGAGAGGAUGAUCAGCCACACUGGAACUGAGACACGGUCCAGACUCCUACGGGAGGCAGCAGUGGGGAAUAUUCGACAAUGGGCGCAAGCCUGAUCCAGCCAUACCGCGUGAGUGAAGAAGGCCUUCGGAUUGUAAAGCCCUUUUGUUGGGAAAGAAAAUCAGCAGAUUAAUACCCCGCUGUUCUGACGGUACCCAAAGAAUAAGCACCGGCUAACUUCGUG
rnacentral:rRNA from 1 species